rnacentral:rRNA from 1 species
UACGGGGGGGGCAAGCGUUGUUCGGAAUUACUGGGCGUAAAGGGCUCGUAGGCGGCCAACUAAGUCGGAUGUGAAAUCCCCAGGCUUAACCUGGGAACUGCAUCCGAUACUGGAUGGCUUGAAUCCGGGAGAGGGAUGCAGAAUUCCAGGUGUAGCGGUGAAAUGCGUAGAUAUCUGGAGGAAUACCGGUGGCGAAGGCGGCAUCCUGGACCGGCAUUGACGCUGAUGAGCGAAAGCGUGGGGAGCGAACAGG